GAUAAGCGCAUUUUUCACCGGUUAUGUUUUAUGUUUGAUCAUCUGUCUUAUUUAAAAAAUUAUAAUUAGUAUUUUUAUUGUUAUUAGAUAAUAAAACAUGAAUAAUACUUUAUGUGUAACUAUUUUACUUUUUUCUAUAAAUUUUUCAAAUAAUACGAACGGUCAAACGUUAAGCACAUGAAUCCUUAAA
rnacentral:pre_miRNA from 1 species